AAGUGGCCCCAUCAAGGAUUGAACUCACAACUCAAGGUUCAGCAGGUCAAUGCUCAUAUCACUGAGCUAUCCCUUCCCCUGUUUGCAUAGCACUCAAUGGUAAUUUUAG